CUUAAAAGGAGAGCACACACACAGGCAGACAAUAUUACAAGACUUUUAUUCUCUCUCACACACAUUCACAGAUAAAGUUUAGGCAUCGAAUAGUUGGUUCCUGGGCUGUAAACCUCCCAACUUCCUGAUCCAUGCUCCUAAGGACAGAUCUAGGAUCAGCUCACCCUCGUCAAAUCCAAACCAGGACCUUAAUAAUCCACAAAGGGUGGAUGAAACUGACCUGAGACCAGCAUUUAAACCCCACGUAUUCCUGCCCAGACACUGCUCUCCAUCCAGAGUUCCUCCUGUGCUCCAGCUGUCCAUCCGUCUAUCCACACACCAGCCAACCAGCCAUGGGUCUGAUGAGUGAAGACAUGAAUUGUUGCGUCUGCUUCCAACCCUAUUCUCGCAGGGAGAAAAUCCCCCGGGUGCUCCACUGCGAACACACCUUCUGUGGGCUGUGCUUGGAGACAAUCUCCAGGCUCCAGAGUGGCCUCCUGACCGCGUGCUGCCCUCUGUGUCGCUGGAUCACCUGUAGCCAGGUCAGCCUACCCUUUGCUGGUUCUCUGGUUGUCAACACUGAGAUCUGGGACCAGAUAGCAGACAGACAGGAGGAAGAGGAGGAGAUGGAGGCGUGGAUAGGAGAUAACAGACAGACACAGACCUCCACACAGUACAAAUGCUCUUCAUUGGGGCAUUCUGGUGUGAGGAUCAAGCUACAGAGUUUCUGGAGGAGAAUGAGGCACAAUGGUCAAAGAGCACUAAAAGAAGGGAAGAAAUUAAGGUCUUGGUUGUGUUUUGAUAGAUGAUGUCACCGUAGUAGUCUAGGACAGGAAGCAGCAGUUGGGAUACCAAGGUCUUUCUUUUUUAGUAUUUAUUUUUUAUAUUUUAUACAAUAUACUGUCUACAAUCUUUAUAAUUAAAACAAAUAUGUAACCUUUAUUUUAACAUGUAGUUAUUUUGAGACCUAGUUUCUCUUUUUCAAAUGAACCCUGUAAUAUGAUUGUCCCUUUAUGUCUGAAGUGCAUAUUUUUUGUACUCAAGUGAUAUUUAUU
ensembl:lncRNA